rnacentral:rRNA from 1 species
UACGGAGGGUGCAAGCGUUAAUCGGAAUUACUGGGCGUAAAGCGCGCGUAGGCGGCUCGGUCAGUCGGGUGUGAAAUCCCCGAGCUUAACUUGGGAACUGCCAUUGAUACUAUCAGUCUUGAAUACCGUGGAGGUCGGCGGAAUAUGUCAUGUAGCGGUGAAAUGCUUAGAUAUGACAUAGAACACCAAUUGCGAAGGCAGCUGACUACGCGAGUAUUGACACUGGAGGCACGAAAGCGUGGGGAUCAAACAGG